GAUGAAGAACGCAGCGAAAUGCGAUAAGUAAUGUGAAUUGCAGAAUUCCGUGAAUCAUCGAAUCUUUGAACGCACAUUGCGCCCCCUGGUAUUCCGGGGGGCAUGCCUGUCCGAGCGUCAUUGCUGCCCUCAAGCACGGCUUGUGUGUUGGGCCCCGCCCCCCGGCUCCCGGGGGGCGGGCCCGAAAGGCAGCGGCGGCACCGCGUCCGGUCCUCGAGCGUAUGGGGCUUCGUCACCCGCUCCGUAGGCCCGGCCGGCGCCCGCCGGCGACCCCCCUCAAUCUUUUCAGGUUGACCUCGGAUCAGGUAGGGAUACCCGCUGAACUUAAGCAUAUCAAUAAGCGGAGGA
rnacentral:misc_RNA from 1 species